GACGAACGCUGGCGGCGUGCCUAAUACAUGCAAGUAGAACGCUGAAGGAGGAGCUUGCUCUUCUGGAUGAGUUGCGAACGGGUGAGUAACGCGUAGGUAACCUGCCUGGCAGCGGGGGAUAACUAUUGGAAACGAUAGCUAAUAUCGCAUAACAGUAGAUGUUGCAUGACAUUUGCUUAAAAGGUGCAAUUGCACCACUACCAGAUGGACCUGCUUUGUUUUAGCUAGUUGGUGGGGUAACGGCCCACCAAGGCGACGAUACAUAGCCGACCUGAGAGGGGGGACGACCCCAAUGGGACUGAGACAAGGCCCAGACUCCUACGGGAAGCAGCAGUAGGGAAAUUUCGGCAAUGGACGGCAGUCUGACCGAGCAACUCCGCGGGAGGUAAGAAGGUUUUCGGAUCGUAAAGCUCUGUUGUAAGAGAAGAACGAGUGUGAGAGUGGAAAGUUCACACUGUGACGGUAUCUUACCAGAAAGGGACGGCUAACUACGUG
rnacentral:rRNA from 1 species